rnacentral:lncRNA from 13 species
AUGAUUUUGAUGGCAGGAGAAGAUAUGAAGAAGCCCUGGAGCCCCGAUUUACCAGUUGAUAGCCAGUCAUACAAUUCAGAUUUCACAUCUCUCCCAGACCAGGAAGGUGAGAAAGAAUUAGCACCUGAUGGCACUGAAGAAAAGAAGGAGAGAGAAAAGAAACACACCAAUUUCACUUUGUGUAAUGUUUGUAACAUUCAGCUAAACUCUGCUGCUCAGGCACAAAUCCACUACAAUGGCAAAUCCCAUCAGAAGAGGUUAAAACAGCUCAGCAAUGGAAAUCUCAAAAGUGAUAAUGGUAAGCAUUAUAAUAUAUAAACCUUUGCCAUAUUUUGAUCUGAGAAUUGCAGCACUGUGCAUUUUGUCGAUAUAUAUUAAUCUAAACUUUGUUUUAUUCAGACAACAAAUGCUUUGAAGUUAAAGCAAAGGCUCUUGGUGACUUCAGAGUGCUGGAGGUCAUCCCUAGCAUGAGCAUCUGGCAAAUAGCUAAACAUAUACCAUCUGUGUUAUUACCAGAGUUUUCAUUUUAUAUUUUGUUUACAUAAUGAUGUUGAUUCAGAUUCUUUCUCUUUUCAUUUGCAUUUUGAUGAUUUUCAGCAUAAUCAGUGAUAUUCUGUACUUCACAGUCUACUAGAAAGGUUAUCCUUGUUAGGGGCGUGUUUGCUUUUAAUGAAUGUAAGGUGGUUGUGAAAUAAAUUGAAACAAGUACAUUACACAGAAAUACGUUCCCAAACUCAUUUCACUUUAGCUUGCUUACUCCAGGUUCAAACCACAGCUAGCAUACGUUUGUUUAAAGGUCAUGGCUGAAGUCAAACAGAGGUGGAACAAAACUUAUUUUGGCUUUAAUUGUUUUCAUUGACAGUUUUGGGCAGAGCAUUUUGUAGUAGGUGACAUACUCUUUUAUAAUCAGAGUGAAUUGUGAUCCUCAAAGAAAAACACAUUUGUGGUUUUUUUUUGUACUAAGG